GCCCCCUGAGCUGACUCGACUAAAGCCCCACUUUUGCUCCUCCUCAUUUCUGCCUACUGAUUUCCUUGGUGCAUUCAUCUGAAUAUUACCUGAGACACAAAAGAGAAAAAUAGAAUAAACACAGAAGCAGAAACUGAGAAAACCCAAAAAAUCUCUUUAUCUGUUAGUAAUUCUGAUGAAACAAGAAAAAAGUCAACAUAAUGACUGAAAUGAAGAUUCUAGGGGGCCUGAUGACCUGGAGCUUGACAGAAUUUGCUUGCGUCCACUGUGCCUUGCUUCAGGGGGCAUUCUGAAAGAUGAGAAGAGUAAGCUUAGAGAAAUAAUUUGCUGAUGUCACAUAGCAAGGAAUCGGAAUGUGAUAAAACCCAGUGGGCCCGACACCAGAGCCCCUGCAUUUAAUCACUACGUAUUUGCAAUGGAUACAAGUCUGAAAUAUAACACGGAGAAAAUUCUGACCUGAAUACGUUGCUGGAAAAUGUCUCCAGUUCCAGAGGAAAUUCUACUAAAAGCAUCAGUCAUGCUAUUGGAGUUUGAUAUAUCUGGAACAAAGAACUUUAAACCUCCUGAAAUACAUGGGAGGGAUGUUAACCAUUAAAAUGGGUAAAAUAAAAUAAAAAUAAAAUGUUAGGCCUUUUCCAACAAA